rnacentral:rRNA from 1 species
GUCGUGCGAGAAAGUAUCUUCGGAUAUGAGUAGAGAGGCGGACGGGUGAGUAACGCGUAGGAAUCUACCUAGUAGAAGGGGAUAGCCCGGGGAAACCCGGAUUAAUACCGUAUACCUCCUUCGGGAGAAAGAAGGCCUCUCUUUGAAGCUUUCGCUAUUAGAUGAGCCUGCGUAAGAUUAGCUUGUUGGUGAGGUAAAGGCUCACCAAGGCUACGAUCUUUAGCUGGUCUGAGAGGACGAUCAGCCACAUUGGGACUGAGACACGGCCCAGACUCCUACGGGAGGCAGCAGUGGGGAAUAUUGCGCAAUGGGCGAAAGCCUGACGCAGCCAUGCCGCGUGUGUGAAGAAGGCCUUCGGGUUGUAAAGCACUUUCAAUUGGGAGGAAAGGCUCACGACUAAUACUCGUGAGCUGUGACGUUACCUUUAGAAGAAGCACCGGCUAACUCCGUGCCAGCAGCCGCGGUAAUACGGAGGGUGCGAGCGUUAAUCGGAAUUACUGGGCGUAAAGCGCGCGUAGGUGGUCUGUUAAGUCGGAUGUGAAAGCCCCGGGCUCAACCUGAGAACUGCAUCCGAUACUGGCAGACUAGAGUGCGGGAGAGGGAGGUAGAAUUCCACG